rnacentral:rRNA from 1 species
UACGAAGGGGGCUAGCGUUGUUCGGAAUUACUGGGCGUAAAGCGCACGUAGGCGGACUAUUAAGUCAGGGGUGAAAUCCCGGGGCUCAACCCCGGAACUGCCUUUGAUACUGGUAGUCUCGAGUCCGGAAGAGGUGAGUGGAAUUCCGAGUGUAGAGGUGAAAUUCGUAGAUAUUCGGAGGAACACCAGUGGCGAAGGCGGCUCACUGGUCCGGUACUGACGCUGAGGUGCGAAAGCUAGGGGAGCAACGGG